rnacentral:rRNA from 1 species
GGGUGCAGCAGGCGCGAAACCUUUACACUGCACGCAAGUGCGAUAAGGGGACCCCAAGUGCGAGGGCAUAUAGUCCUCGCUUUUCUCGACUGUAAGGCGGUCGAGGAAUAAGAGCUGGGCAAGACCGGUGCCAGCCGCCGCGGUAAUACCGGCAGCUCAAGUGAUGACCGAUAUUAUUGGGCCUAAAGCGUCCGUAGCCGGCCACGAAGGUUCAUCGGGAAAUCCGCCAGCUCAACUGGCGGGCGUCCGGUGAAAACCACGUGGCUUGGGACCGGAAGGCUCGAGGGGUACGUCCGGGGUAGGAGUGAAAUCCCGUAAUCCUGGACGGACCACCGAUGGCGAAAGCACCUCGAGAAGACGGAUCCGACGGUGAGGGACGAAAGCUAGGGUCUCGAACCGGAUUAGAUACCCGGGUAGUCCUAGCUGUAAACGAUGCUCGCUAGGUGUGACACAGGCUACGAGCCUGUGUUGUGCCGUAGGGAAGCCGAGAAGCGAG